rnacentral:misc_RNA from 1 species
AUCUUGUUUGGUUUUUUCUAGUUCGAAAGUCUGCACACAUCCCGGAGGUGUCCUCAAAUGCUGUCCAGAAUAUGUGUGGAAUCGUACAGAAAACAGAUGUAUUUGACUAAUGAUACCACGUCACCAAAACAUCAGAAUGUAUAUCUAACACCGCAAACAACAAGUUUAAACAACUUCACACGGCAACCCAAAUCUAGCACACAUCAGGAGAAACCAAAUGAAAAGGAGUCAAAGACUUAUGGACUUUUGAAAUACUUUAUUUUAAUUCUACUUGUCAUUACAUUCAUCGUGGGUUUGUUAUAUGUAAGACUUGUUUUUCGUUGUCGUAUUCCACAUUCCUUGGUUAAAGAAUAAUAGACAAAGGAGAAAGGCUGAAACGAUACACCCUCUUUACGAUACAAUACGUAUUGCAAAUGUGCAAUACUUGUGCCAUGAUUUAAUAUGAUCCAUGUUUAAGAAAAAACAAAUCAAACAAAUGAACGACAGAUAUCAUUAAUGCAAGUCACACUUUUAUUUAAUUAAAAAAUGUAAACAGAUAAUUUGAAAACUAAAGCAUUAUUUGGGUCAAUAAAUCAUGAUAAUACAAUGAAAAGAACAAAGGUAACUUUCAUUGACAAUCAUCUAUCAGAAUGACUUUUAUUUUCAGAAAUUUCAAAAUGAAGUUGAUUAGUGGUGUGAUUUCAACGAAGUAAUUAUUAGAUUUAAAGCUCAUGAAGAGUUCAUUUGCAAAUCGUAAAUACAACUUUUUACUUUUUUAGGUAGGAAGUAAACUACCGAUUAGACCAAACCUUACACCAGAAUAAACCCCAACUAAACUCCGAAUAUACUUUUGGGGUUUACUUGGAGUUUACCCUGGGUCUGCUUUUUGAAAAUUUGGUUCCACUUGGGGUUUUCUCGGAGUUUAAUUUGGGUUUACUAUUCAAGAAUUGCUUUUGGGGUCAACUGUACGCACUGAAGUGAGAAGCAGACUAGUCUUUUUAUCUUUUCAUCGUACUGACUGUAUUUCUUGUCCCUUGUAUAUUCCGAAUACACAUGUAGCGUCUGCUUUCAGCGGUAUACUUCUGAUCGGGGUUUAUUCUCUGUGACCACUCUGGGUUUUCUUUAGGUUUACUCUCUAUCCGCUCUAGUUAACCUGGUUUGAACCCAGAAAGUAAAACCAGGGUUUAGUCGGGGUUUACGUUCUGAUAGGUUGGGUCUGAUCGGUAAUGUAAGCAUAUCACCAAGAUUUAACUGAUAUAUAUGGUGCAGGUGGGUUCUGUAGUUUGAUAUGUUUCAUGAGCCGUUUUUAUUUGCAUCUGUCGCAAUAGGAUAGAACAACUCAAUCGCCAGGCCAAACCCGAUGUAAUAAACCGAACCCGAUUUUAAAGCUGAAUAAAACCGAAAAUGGAAGCAGUGAAUCGAAAUUUGAAUCUGGCGUAAAAUUUGAAUAGUAUCGAUAUUCCGGUGAAUCGUUUCAGCCCCACAAAGGAAAUAAGCAUGUAAAUAGGCAAUGUAUUCAAAUCUUAUUUUUGUGUUCUAUUUACAUUAUUGAGAGCGACAUUUUUGAGAUCGUGUUUUUAAAUGUGAUCAAUAAAUCAUUAUCUUCAU